rnacentral:lncRNA from 1 species
UCGUGGUGAUACUAUGCGAGCUUGAGAUGUACUUCUCGCCCACAUUCUUCAACGUUACGGUGCAUCGGCUAGUCCAUAUCGUGGAAGAUAUCAUCCAACUCGGGCCUACGUUCCUGCACAGCAUCAUGCCGUUUGAAAGGAUGAAUGGUGUCAUCAAAAGAUAUGUUUGGAACAGGGCACGUCGAAAUGGAAGCAUAGCCC